rnacentral:rRNA from 1 species
AUGCCCUGGCAGUCAGAGGCGAUGAAGGACGUGCUAAUCUGCGAAAAGCGUCGGUAAGGUGAUAUGAACCGUUAUAGCCGGCGAUGUCCGAAUGGGGAAACCCAGUGCAAUUCGUUGCACUAUCGUUAACUGAAUACAUAGGUUAACGAGGCGAACCGGGGGAACUGAAACAUCUAAGUACCCCGAGGAAAAGAAAUCAACCGAGAUUCCCCCAGUAGCGGCGAGCGAACGGGGAGCAGCCCAGAGUCUGAAUCAGCUUGUGUGUUAGUGGAACGGUCUGGAAAGUCCGACGGUACAGGGUGAUAGUCCCGUACACCAAAAUGCACAGGUUGUGAACUCGAAGAGUAGGGCGGGACACGUGGUAUCCUGUCUGAAUAUGGGGGGACCAUCCUCCAAGGCUAAAUACUCCUGACUGACCGAUAGUGAACCAGUACCGUGAGGGAAAGGCGAAAAGAACCCCGGCGAGGGGAGUGAAAAAGAACCUGAAACCGUGUACGUACAAGCAGUGGGAGCACCUUCGGGUGUGACUGCGUACCUUUUGUAUAAUGGGUCAGCGACUUAUAUUCUGUAGCAAGGUUAACCGUAUAGGGGAGCCGCAGGGAAACCGAGUCUUAACUGGGCGUUAAGUUGCAGGGUAUAGACCCGAAACCCGGUGAUCUAGCCAUGGGCAGGUUGAAGGUUGGGUAACACUAACUGGAGGACCGAACCGACUAAUGUUGAAAAAUUAGCGGAUGACUUGUGGCUGGGGGUGAAAGGCCAAUCAAACCGGGAGAUAGCUGGUUCUCCCCGAAAGCUAUUUAGGUAGCGCCUCGUGAAUUCAUCUUCGGGGGUAGAGCACUGUUUCGGCUAGGGGGUCAUCCCGACUUACCAACCCGAUGCAAACUACGAAUACCGAAGAAUGUUAUCACGGGAGACACACGGCGGGUGCUAACGUCCGUCGUGAAGAGGGAAACAACCCAGACCGCCAGCUAAGGUCCCAAAGUCAUGGUUAAGUGGGAAACGAUGUGGGAAGGCACAGACAGCCAGGAUGUUGGCUUAGAAGCAGCCAUCAUUUAAAGAAAGCGUAAUAGCUCACUGGUCGAGUCGGCCUGCGCGGAAGAUGUAACGGGGCUAAACCAUGCACCGAAGCUGCGGCAGCGACACUAUGUGUUGUUGGGUAGGGGAGCGUUCUGUAAGCCUGCGAAGGUG